rnacentral:rRNA from 1 species
GACGAACGCUGGCGGCGUGCUUAACACAUGCAAGUCGAACGGAAAGGCCUGUCCUUCCUUGUGUUGGACGGGUACUCGAGUGGCGAACGGGUGAGUAACACGUGAGUGAUCUGCCCCCAACUUGGGUAUAAGCCUGGGAAACUGGGUCUAAUUCCCGAUAGGACUGCAGGGUGGUGCCUGUGGUGGAAAACGAUUUUCUAGUGGUUGGGGAUGAGCUCGCGGCCUAUCAGCUUGUUGGUGGGGUAAUGGCCUACCAAGGCGGCGGCGGGUAGCCGGCCUGAGAGGGUGGACGGCCCCAUUGGGACUGAGAUACGGCCCAGACUCCUACGGGAGGCAGCAGUGGGGAAUAUUGCACAAUGGGCGGAAGCCUGAUGCAGCGACGCCGCGUGGGGGAUGACGGCCUUCGGGUUGUAAACUCCUUUCGACCGCGAGGAAGCCGCCUGGUUGGAAGGGUGGUGACGGUAGUGGUAGAAGAAGCACUGGCUAACUACGUG